CGAACGCGAAAGUUCCCUUCGGGGAGCAAGUAGAGUGGCGCACGGGUGAGUAACACGUAGGUAAUCUACCUUUGGAUUGGGAAUAACCACCGGAAACGGUGGCUAAUACCGAAUAAUGCAGCGGCACCUAAUGGUGACAGUUGUUAAAGCGGGGGAUCGCAAGACCUCGCGUCUGAAGAGGAGCCUGCGGCAGAUUAGCUAGUUGGUAAGGUAACGGCUUACCAAGGCGAUGAUCUGUAGCCGGCCUGAGAGGGCGGUCGGCCACACUGACACUGACAUACGGGUCAGACUCCUACGGGAGGCGGCAGUCGGGAAUUUUGGGCAAUGGGCGAAAGCCUGACCCAGCAACGCCGCGUGAAGGAUGAAAUCCUUCGGGAUGUAAACUUCGCAAGAACGGGAAGAAUAAGUAAGGGUUAAUAUCUCUUACGAUGACGGUACUGUUUGUAAGCUCCGGCUAACUCCGUGCCAGCAGCCGCGGUAAUACGGGGGGAGCAAGCGUUGUUCGGAUUUACUGGGCGUAAAGGGCGCGUAGGCGGCCACCGCAAGUCGACUGUGAAAUCUCCGGGCUUAACCCGGAAAGGUCAGCCGAUACUGCGGGGCUAGAGUGCAGAAGGGGCAACUGGAAUUCUCGGUGUAGCGGUGAAAUGCGUAGAUAUCGAGAGGAACACCUGCGGCGAAGGCGGGUUGCUGGGCUGACACUGACGCUGAGGCGCGAAAGCUAGGGGAGCGAACGGGAUUAGAUACCCCGGUAGUCCUAGCCUUAAACGAUGAAUGCUUGGUGUCU
rnacentral:rRNA from 1 species